GUUUAGCAGAAAAGGAAGAACUUUACACGUCAAGCACAACAGCCUGUCAGUGCUUCCAAAAAUUCUAUGUUUACAUAUUGGAAGAACUAUUUGGUCUAAACAUUACAACAAAGUUUAUAAAUCUCACUGUGUAAUAAAAUUUGACGAGUUUCUUGAUAUGAAAAACUACACUGGAAUAUUCGAUCGGCAAAAGCUUUAUAACAAUAAUAAUAAUAAACUUUUUCUGUACGAAUUGAAAUCACUUAUUGUUCACCACGGCGAUCUUACUGGCCACUUUACAACUUAUAGAAAACUACAACCGAAAUUCUGGUGCUGCGCGGACGAUUCGAAAGUUUUUAAAGUUUCAAGAGAAGAAGU